rnacentral:lncRNA from 10 species
GUCGGGCUUCGAGCGUCCCCGGGCGCUACAGGUGGGUGAAGUUAAGUGGCUGCUGGAGCGUCUCGGGGGACAGCCAGUGUCUGCGGCGCCGAGAGGGCCGUUCGUGGACUCAAAUGGGUAUCACCCCUACCGUUUAUAGUCCUCCCAAUAGUCUGCAUCUCGUUUUGUCGUGGCUGGUCGUGUACUCCUUGUGGAGUCUGAAGACAGGGUCUCUGUCACCCAGGCUAGAGUGCAGUGACUUGAUCAAGCUCACAGCAGCCUCCAUCUCCUGGGGUCCAGCAAUCCUCGCACCUCAGCCUCCUGAGUAGCUAGGACUACAGAUAAUCAAGCUAAGCACACAGGAUGACUGCCCAAGAAGCAAGUGACCGCAAUGGUGAAGCUGGGCCUCCACCCUGCCGUCUGGCUGACUUCAAGGCCUGCACAGCCUCUUAAGCCGCAUCCUGCUUGCUGCCUCCAAGCUUUCCUGACUGCAGCCUUUUCUCCAGUCACUUUUGAUAGAGGAGUUAAGAAGAAAUUACUUAGGCAGAUAGUGAGGGUAUGGAAGUCCUCGGUAAGGUUUUCCUUUUAAUGAAAAGCAGCCCCAAAUCAUUUUCCUUUCUAACAAACAGCAGCCUGUAAAAUCAAGCUGCAGACAUAGAUGCCGGCAGUUGUGCCAAUCAUGUUCAGAAUGGUGGCUCCCUUCUCCCUUCUCUGCCAGCCAUAUGUACAGUAAGGAGCAGACAACAUGGCUCGGGCCAAGGGUAAAGUUGAUUUGCAUAAUAAGAUUAGGGUGGGGCCCACCAGCCUUCCCCUGCACUAUGUAAACAUCACGCCUGACUGAACCAAUCUGUGAGCCCUAUGUAAAUCAGACAAUGCCUUCUCAAGCCUGACUAUAAAAUCCUGUGAGUCCACUGCCAGCCAGUCUUUCCUCUGGGAAGCCCCUCUCUCUCCCUAGAGAGAGCUGGUUUCCUUUCUCCUUUCUUUUUCUUUUGCAUAUUAAACUUCCACUCCUAAACUCCUCAUGUGUGUCCCUAUCCUAAAUUUUCUUGGUGCGAGACAAUGAACCAUGGGUAUUCACCCCACACAACGUAGCCUCUUCACUUUCUUCUUAAAUUUACCCAGACUGACCUUUCUAAUUCCCUGAGGCCACUUCUCAUUUUCCUGCUUCAGAACCAGCAGGAACUCCUGAGUGAAGUCCGAAUUCCUCUGCCGGACUUUUACCAUUUCUCUGUGAUCUGGCCUAAUGUGGACAAGUCUGUAUUUCCGCGCUGCAGGCCCUUCUCUGCAGCGGGGUGGUCAGCACUUGGCCUCCUUUGUGUCUCAAGCUGCGAGGCUCCCUCCCCCUUCAGCCUCUUGGCUUCACUCUAGUUUCAGUCUUCUGUGCUUUAUCGUUUCUCAUGCUGCACUCAGGCGCCUC